rnacentral:rRNA from 1 species
CAUAUUUUAGAGCUCAAAUCAUAAUACUUAAGAUAAUAUUAUUACUUUCAAAUCCACCUUUAAACUAAAGCUCUCAUUUAAUUAUUCGUAUAAAUAUAUUUAUUGUAACCCAUCUCUUCUUAUAUAUAAACUGUGCCUUGAUCUGAUUUAUUAUAUAAUAAUAAAUUAAGAAUAUUAUAAUUCUUUUAAAAUACUCAACUACGACGAUAUACAAAUUAAUAAAAUAAGUACAUUAAAUCGUGGGUUAUCGAUUAUAGGACAGGUUCCUCUGAAAAGACUAAAAUACCGCCAAAUUUUUUAAUUUUUAAGAUCAUAACUAAUACUAAUUUAAUUUAACCAUUUACAUUUAU